GACGAACGCUGGCGGCGUGCUUAACACAUGCAAGUCGAACGGAAAGGCCCUGCUUUUGUGGGGUGCUCGAGUGGCGAACGGGUGAGUAACACGUGAGUAACCUGCCCUUGACUUUGGGAUAACUUCAGGAAACUGGGGCUAAUACCGGAUAGGAGCUCCUGCUGCAUGGUGGGGGUUGGAAAGUUUCGGCGGUUGGGGAUGGACUCGCGGCUUAUCAGCUUGUUGGUGGGGUAGUGGCUUACCAAGGCUUUGACGGGUAGCCGGCCUGAGAGGGUGACCGGCAACAUUGGGACUGAGAUACGGCCCAGACUCAUACGGGAGGCAGCAGUGGGGAAUAUUGCACAAUGGGAGGAAGCCUGAUGCAGCAACGCCGCGUGCGGGAUGACGGCCUUCGGGUUGUAAACCGCUUUCGCCUGUGACGAAGCGUGAGUGACGGUAAUGGGUAAAGAAGCACCGGCUAACUACGUG
rnacentral:rRNA from 1 species